GUGCUCACUUCGGCAGCACAUAUACUAAAACUGGAACGAUACAGAGAAGAUUAGCAUGGCCCCUGUGCAAGGAUGACACACAAAUUCAUGAAGUGUUCCAUAUUUUU
rnacentral:snRNA from 1 species